AGAGUUUGAUCCUGGCUCAGAUUGAACGCUGGCGGCAGGCCUAACACAUGCAAGUCGAGCGGAUGAGUGGAGCUUGCUCCAUGAUUCAGCGGCGGACGGGUGAGUAAUGCCUAGGAAUCUGCCUGGUAGUGGGGGACAACGUUUCGAAAGGAACGCUAAUACCGCAUACGUCCUACGGGAGAAAGCAGGGGACCUUCGGGCCUUGCGCUAUCAGAUGAGCCUAGGUCGGAUUAGCUAGUAGGUGAGGUAAUGGCUCACCUAGGCGACGAUCCGUAACUGGUCUGAGAGGAUGAUCAGUCACACUGGAACUGAGACACGGUCCAGACUCCUACGGGAGGCAGCAGUGGGGAAUAUUGGACAAUGGGCGAAAGCCUGAUCCAGCCAUGCCGCGUGUGUGAAGAAGGUCUUCGGAUUGUAAAGCACUUUAAGUUGGGAGGAAGAGCAGUAAGUUAAUACCUUGCUGUUUUGACGUUACCAACAGAAUAAGCACCGGCUAACUUCGUGCCAGCAGCCGCGGUAAUACGAAGGGGGCUAGCGUUGCUCGGAAUUACUGGGCGUAAAGGGCGCGUAGGCGGACAGUUAAGUCAGAGGUGAAAUCCCAGGGCUCAACCUUGGAAUUGCCUUUGAUACUGGCUGUCUUGAGUACGGGAGAGGUGAGUGGAACUCCGAGUGUAGAGGUGAAAUUCAUAGAUAUUCGGAAGAACACCAGUGGCGAAGGCGACUCACUGGCCCGUUACUGACGCUGAGGCGCGAAAGCGUGGGGAGCAAACAGGAUUAGAUACCCUGGUAGUCCAA
rnacentral:rRNA from 1 species